rnacentral:lncRNA from 13 species
CAAUGGACCAUUAGUGCUCAAGUCUCAGAGCAACCUGCAAAGUAAAGAAAAGGAAUUUUACCAUUUGUACCAUUUUUCAGCCACACUUCUCUCUCCCAAUGACCUGUAGAAGUGUCCAACUUCUCCAGGGCCACAUGAUGACUUGGGUUCAGUUGGAUGGCCUAUUAGUGAUGGGCCACUACCUUCUCUGGAUCCCCUCUAACCAUUGAUAGGCUGGUAAGAAAAAAACUGUCCUUAUUUAUAAAACACUUAUGAUAGAUAAUCUUCCCUACUGAUUUGUAAGCAACAUAAUACAAGUUAAAAGUUACACACAUUAAGUAAUUAAGAACUAUAAUAGACCUUAAGAGAAUGAUUCGUCUAAUCUUCUUCCUUCUACCUCAACAACAAAGACAAAUUUUCACAUAAUCCACUAUCUACUCAAUUCAUCUUAUCUGCAAUAUACUUUCUCUUUGCCUUUGUUUUUUCACACUUAUGAAGCCCCUUUAGUUCCACCCUGACACCUGCUAUCUAUAGAUUUGUCUGUAUAGUAUCUCUUGUCUCAAGCCAAUCAAACUUGUAUUCUAAAGCAGACUUCCUAAAAGAAUUACUGUGCAAAGAAUAAUCAUUCCAUUAGGAAAAACGUUCACCUGAUCCAGUUAUUCAAGUUCAGAAAUCUUACUUGGAAACUGCUUGAAGAAAGUUAUCCAAAGUAAAGAGACCUGAUUCUACUUCUUGUUCUGAUGCACUCUUGCCCUGGGAUCUUUGCCAAGGCAGCCAGUCUGUUGGUCAAUGAGAAGGUUAUCAUAUUCUUGAAACCAGGAAUCCUGAGAGGACCCACAGACCCUCUGAAAGAAAUGGACUGCUCCUGCAGGACCUGGAGAGACACCUCAAAUACUGUAGGUGCCCCAACUGCAGAAGUGGGAAAAAGAGAUUCUCCACAUACCUGCCCUGGGGAAACUGAGGGUCUGUUUGUGGGAGAAGUUUUUGAACUUACCUUUAGCUGAGUCAAUUUAGAGAGCAGACUGAAAUACAGGUGUAGAAGAAGCAGCGGGAAAGGCCCUAGGAGCUCUCUGGGUCCCUGAACAGCCAUUCCUGCCUGGCACCACAGAGGUCCUUCUGGAGGGCAGCCAGAGGCACAGAGGAAAAUGCCACUGAGAGAAGGAAGCCUCCAGCUGAACUUUGUAACAAUUUGAACUGGGUGAGAAGCCUCCUGGCCAGAACUUGGGGGAGAGCACAAAUCCAGUGUGCAGAUUCCACAGGUGUGGAAAGAACCAAGCCCUUACCUUUUGCAGCUGGGAGGUGGGUACU